AAGUUAAGUGAUUAAAAGAACAAGUAACACAAACACAAACACAUAUGCGUGUGUUUAUGUCGCCAGGAGCAAGCACAGGAUGAACCCCCCUUCUUUAUUCACUAAAUUGCACAAAUUGAGGCCCUAAUCAAGACAAUUACUCUUGCAUGUUGGUAGAUUCUUGAUCUUCUAAGUCCAUUAAAGCAUAAGGAAUUAAGGAGGAAAGCUCAAGCCGAUCCGAGUCUCAAACGAAGAACGAUAAAGGUAAAGCGACUUGUUAAACGGCGUUACUUGGAUCGAACACACUCAUGAUGCACGCUUCCGCAAGGACAUUAGUUUUGGUUAAAACUUUUGUUAAAUGUACUUUUUGUUAAAACGGGUCUUUUUGUAAGUAACAUAACUUGGUUGUUGUUAGUUGU